rnacentral:rRNA from 1 species
CCUACGGGAGGCAGCAGUGGGGAAUAUUGCACAAUGGGCGCAAGCCUGAUGCAGCCAUGCCGCGUGUAUGAAGAAGGCCUUCGGGUUGUAAAGCACUUUAAGUUGGGAGGAAGGGCAGUAAGUUAAUACCUUGCUGUUUUGACGUUACCGACAGAAUAAGCACCGGCUAACUCUGUGCCAGCAGCCGCGGUAAU